AUGAACGCUAGCUACAGGCUUAACACAUGCAAGUCGAGGGGCAUCAGGAAGAAAGCUUGCUUUCUUUGCUGGCGACCGGCGCACGGGUGAGUAACACGUAUCCAACCUGCCCUUUACUCGGGGAUAGCCUUUCGAAAGAAAGAUUAAUACCCGAUGGCAUAAUGAUUCCGCAUGGUUUCAUUAUUAAAGGAUUCCGGUAAAGGAUGGGGAUGCGUUCCAUUAGGUUGUUGGUGAGGUAACGGCUCACCAAGCCUUCGAUGGAUAGGGGUUCUGAGAGGAAGGUCCCCCACAUUGGAACUGAGACACGGUCCAAACUCCUACGGGAGGCAGCAGUGAGGAAUAUUGGUCAAUGGGCGCUAGCCUGAACCAGCCAAGUAGCGUGAAGGAUGAAGGCUCUAUGGGUCGUAAACUUCUUUUAUAUAAGAAUAAAGUGCAGUAUGUAUACUGUUUUGUAUGUAUUAUAUGAAUAAGGAUCGGCUAACUCCGUGCCAGCAGCCGCGGUAAUACGGAGGAUCCGAGCGUUAUCCGGAUUUAUUGGGUUUAAAGGGAGCGUAGGUGGACUGGUAAGUCAGUUGUGAAAGUUUGCGGCUCAACCGUAAAAUUGCAGUUGAUACUGUCAGUCUUGAGUACAGUAGAGGUGGGCGGAAUUCGUGGUGUAGCGGUGAAAUGCUUAGAUAUCACGAAGAACUCCGAUUGCGAAGGCAGCUCACUGGACUGCAACUGGCACUGAUGCUCGAAAGUGUGGGUAUCAAACAGGAUUAGAUACCCUGGUAGUCCACACAGUAAACGAUGAAUACUCGCUGUUUGCGAUAUACAGUAAGCGGCCAAGCGAAAGCAUUAAGUAUUCCACCUGGGGAGUACGCCGGCAACGGUGAAACUCAAAGGAAUUGACGGGGGCCCGCACAAGCGGAGGAACAUGUGGUUUAAUUCGAUGAUACGCGAGGAACCUUACCCGGGCUUAAAUUGCAGUGGAAUGAUGUGGAAACAUGUCAGUGAGCAAUCACCGCUGUGAAGGUGCUGCAUGGUUGUCGUCAGCUCGUGCCGUGAGGUGUCGGCUUAAGUGCCAUAACGAGCGCAACCCUUAUCUUUAGUUACUAACAGGUCAUGCUGAGGACUCUAGAGAGACUGCCGUCGUAAGAUGUGAGGAAGGUGGGGAUGACGUCAAAUCAGCACGGCCCUUACGUCCGGGGCUACACACGUGUUACAAUGGGGGGUACAGAAGGCAGCUAGCGGGUGACCGUAUGCUAAUCCCAAAAUCCUCUCUCAGUUCGGAUCGAAGUCUGCAACCCGACUUCGUGAAGCUGGAUUCGCUAGUAAUCGCGCAUCAGCCACGGCGCGGUGAAUACGUUCCCGGGCCUUGUACACACCGCCCGUCAAGCCAUGGGAGCCGGGGGUACCUGAAGUACGUAACCGCAAGGAUCGUCCUAGGGUAAAACUGGUGACUGGGGCU
rnacentral:rRNA from 1 species